CGCCCUUCAGUUCCUCUCAAUAAAAGAACUUCUGCAAAGUUGGCCAACCUUCUUCUAAACCCAACCAGGUAGUACGAAGACUGCCAUCCACAAAAGGAAUAGCAGAAAUGAUGCAUUCAAUAAAGCCUAUCUUCCUCCUAUAGACGAAAGAUUUGCACUUCGUCCAUCAAGCUUCCUCUGGAUUUUCUGAACCAUUGGCAGUCAGUGAAUCUUUCUCAACUGAUAUGGGUAGACAGGUUCAGCGAGGUAAGUAAUACAAAAUGGAGAACUCACCAAGCUGACAUGGCUGCCUAAUACAGUUGUUUCCUAUCUAAAAUGGUGACUUCUCAAAGUUGAUCUGCAAUCCAGAAAUUUCUUCAGAAAAAUAUAGGAUAAUCUUCAAAUUGGUAGGCUGUUACAUAACAUCUUCGCAAAAGAUGAUGGUGUCAUCUGCCUGCUGCAAGGUCGCGAUCCAUUCACAUCUGCCAAGGUAGCAAAUAUUAGCCCCAUCAAAGGACAUUUCAGACCACCUUUUCCCCUUCAUGCCAAACCCACAUGCUUCAAGCAACUUAGCAAGAAAACUCGAUCAAAUCUUUGUACAGAAGUUUUGCACUGGUAGAGAGUCUCCUGAGCCCUUACAAAGCUACUAUGGAUUAAUGAAUGCAACCUAGAUCUCUCCUACCAGUUGACUCAUGAGAGGUUGCAGCUGCAGCGCUGGUCACAUGCUGCCAUGAUAUAGUAGAGUCACAUGCCAGGUCAAGCCAGUCACAUGGUUGUGCUUGGGCUCUAGCCAUAAGCGGGUUGGUUGUUCACAAUAUAGAGGCACAAACCUCUUGUACUAUGUCUGCAUCUGGAUGCAAAAUGGUACAUACUGUAUGUUUCAGUAACACCAGCACCUAAAUCCUUGACAGACAAACCUUAUUGAAGUAGGAUAUAGUGACACAUAAAUUAUCAUUUGGGAAAAAAAUCUGCUCAAAAGGGAAAAGAUAAAAAGUGGACAUGGGGAAAUAAGUAUGCAACUUGAAAAAGCAUAAUAUCAAUUCAUGCUAACUGAUAUAGGUCUAAUUUUCAGAAACAAAAUAGAACAAAUUCCUGAGAAUAACUUAUCAUAAAAUAUUGUAAUGCCAAUGUUUUAUUAAGAUUAUUCUGAGCAAAAACAACCUAGAAUAUGGCAUAAACACAUGCUUGACAGCAAAAGAUCCUACAUACUCAACU
rnacentral:lncRNA from 1 species